UAGGGAAUAUUAGUAAUGGGCGAAAGCCUGAACUAGCAACGCCGCGUGUGCGAAGAAGGCCUUCGGGUUGUAAAGCACUUUUUGAGAGGAUGAGGAAGGACGGUACUCUCAGAAUAAGUCUCGGCUAACUACGUGCCAGCAGCCGCGGUAACACGUAGGAGGCGAACGUUAUCCGGAUUUACUGGGCGUAAAGCGCGUGUAGGUGGUUUGGUAAGUAGGGCGUGAAAGCUCCAGGCUCAACUGGGAGAGGCCGUUCUAAACUGCCGAACUAGAGGAUGGUAGAGGGAGGUGGAAUUCCGGGUGUAGCGGUGGAAUGCGCAGAUAUCCGGAGGAACACCAGUGGCGAAAUCGGCCUCCUGGACCACUCCUGACACUCAGACGCGAAAGCUAGGGUAGCAAACGG
rnacentral:rRNA from 1 species